GUGCAGACAGCCCUGCCCAGGCCCCUGAGGGCGGAGGCUCCGGGGAGAGUGCCACCUGACUAAUGGAGGGUGAAACCCGGCCCGGCAGGGAGGGGGUGGUAAUAAGUCCCCAGUCUCUCUCACCUCCACCCUCCAAGCUCCUGCUGUUGCUUGCCAUGGACUGAAGCAUGGAAGCCAGAGGUGAGGGGGCUCAGGUGAUACAGUUGGUGGAACCGAGGGCAAGGCACAGGGUGUGUCUCUAGGCCAGUGGAGCACCUGAUUCCAUGCUGGGCAGAUGGAGGUGGGAGGGUGGCGGCAGACAUUCAGUAGGUUUGUGGAAUGAGCCAAACUGCCUGGGUUCACACCUACCGAGUGAUACUGGACAGUUGCGUCCCCUGUCCGUUUGUCCAUCAGAGUAGCAAACACCCUCUCUGGGAAUGUGGAGAAGCUGAAGUGAGUCUGUGUAGACUUUGUGCAGUCAGGUACAUGGUAAGCUUGUUGGUUAAAAAAGAAUAUCAUCUGCCUUUUCCAAGAGAGGACAAAGCCUCUGCCAUCUCCAGCCACCUGGCUCCUCACAGCCACUCCAGGGCCUGUAAUGUCCUCAGCUCAGUUCACGGAUGGCCCUGCCACUACCAGGCAUGCUUGCCAUCUAAAUCCCACCACGCUGCUUCUCCCCUUGUCCCCUCCUGAUUAUAGAGCAGGAGCCUGAGGCCCAGAGAGCAGAGUCACAUACCCACUAUGCUCCAGCCACUCUGAACUCCUGCCACUCCCCAGACAUACCUCGUGAAAGGAGGAUGUGGCAGAACGACAACGGGCUGGUUCUGAGCCUCGGCCUCAAGAGGACACACAUGUCCACUCGCUGUCUUGGACCCCUGCCACUGCUGCCAUGAGGACAGCCUGGGCUAGCCCACCGGAGGAUGAAGGAACUGCAGAGAGAGGCCCCAUCCACCCUCACCCAGGCCCGCCUAGACCUGACAGCCCCAGUCACCUAGGGUGACCCACUGCUUCAUUUGCCCAGGAUUGAGGGGUCACCUGGGAUGUAGGUCUUUCAGUGCUAUAACUGGGGCAGUUCCAGGCAAACCAGGACGGUUGAUCACCCUACAGUUGACUCACCAGCUGAUUCAGGUGCAGGAAUAAGCCCACCUGAGUUCAGAAGAGCUAGCCAGCUGACCUGUAAAUGCUUAUUGUUUGAAACCAAUAGAGCAUGAAUUUGGGAGGCUGAAUUUGGGAAGCCAUUUGUUAGACAGCAAAAACUAACAAGGGCACCUUCUCCAUUUCUCUGUGAAGAUCUCAGAGUUGCCCUGCACAUGCAGGGGAGCCAGUAACAGAGAUUACCUUGUGAAUGGCAGCACUUGGAAUUGUACAGGGUAGAACCCUAGAUAAACUUCAAGGCCCCAGUUCAAAUGUCACCUCUUCUGUGAAGCCUUCCCAGACUUCCCUAGAUCUAGUUUACUAGAGAAAGGGAGUCUUGUGUUCUAAAAAUGAUAAGGAUAGAAUAGGAUAAUUUAAUAGUGAGUUUAGAAAUCCCACUAGGGGACUAAAGACAGAAAGGGAAUUUUAAGGGAGUUUGAGAAACUGUUGUAAGCUAAUGACCCCUCAAGAAAAGAAUCCAGUAACCUAGCAGC
ensembl:lncRNA